rnacentral:sRNA from 1 species
CCCAGGCCACCGGCCGGAUGAGGGACGCAGGGGCAGAGGGCUCAGGCCAGGGCCGGCGGGGGCACUGCGCACUGGCCGCCUCCCUCCUCUGGCCAAUCCUCCUGCCGCUGCGCGUCCAGUCCACCUCGUCCGUCUCUGCAGUCUUCCUGCCUGAGCCUUUCCAACUUCAGGAGGCAGAGGUCGGUGCCAUGGACAACAGUGUCUGCGGAUCCUUUUUCCAGCCCCAGUACCCCGGCCAGCCAAGCAGCAGUGACUACACCAUCCACGAGGACAUGCUGUGCGCUGGGGACCUCAUAACAGGAAAGGCCAUUUGCCGAGCAUGUUCCUCCGUGGAGCAUGGAGUUAUGCGAUGGCCUGCCUGUCCAUGAAGUUCCUCUGGCCUCCUCCGAUUCUGCGGCUGCAAAUCCACACCCAGGAGCUCCGCAGGCCUGCUGGAGCACAGCGCCUGGCGGUUUCUGCACCUGGAACCCACCUCAGGACCACGAGCCGCAUUCAGUCUCUUUUUAUAGAUCUGGAACUCGAAGCCCAGCGUGGUUAGGAACGUGUCUAAGGUCACGUGAUAGUAAAUACUGGAAGAGGGAUUCAAACCCACAUCUCCAGAGAGAGCUGAGAAGACUUGUGCUUCCCAUGGGUGCAGCUGUUCCCAGAGGCCUCCGGCCCUGUUUCACCUUCCCAGACUGCUUUGAGAGGCUCUGGCUGGCCUGUCUCUAGUGUGGCCAGAUUCUGUCUGCAGUGGCAAGGGAGGACCCCAGGCAACAAUACUGACAUCAGGGAAGAGAACAGAUCUGCAGGGCCAGUGAGUGGUGCUAUGGAAAGGCUGGGAGUGGCCCCUGCAUGGUUUUCACCAGACCCGUCGUCAGGGGCUCCAGGCCUCCAUGUGCUGCACGGGCUACUGGCUCCCUCUCCAAAAUCGACCCUGGGUGAGCUGUGGAGGCGAGAAGGCAGUGUGCAUUUCAGAAACUAACCAAAAUCAGUGAGAAAAUCUUGGAGAAACUGAAGUUACCCUGGGCGGCUGUAGCUGGGGAUGGAGGAUGGGGCAGCCAGGAGCCGCACUUAAGAAGGCUGUUCACACUCUGCUCUUGUUGCUUGCCUCCCACACCUCGUGACAAAUGCUGCCUGGUCCUGCUCAGGUGCCAGGAUUGCAAGGUGGCUGUGUCAGCCAGCGUGAGGGCCCCACCAGCCACCAGUGUUGUGUGCCCUCCAUCCUCCUCCUGAAACCCCCCUGGGUAGGACAGUUGCUAUCCAGGGAAAUGGGCCCCUUCCACUGUGAUCUCCUCCAGGGCUUUCACCAGAAGGCCUGCCUGCAGGAGUGGCUUGUGGGGUGGCAGAAUGCAGGAGAGAGUGAGUGAGGUGCUUCGUGCCCGGGGCCCUCUGCUCUGGGGCCACCCUCCUCGUUGACUCAUUGGGAGCCUUCCUAGUGCAGACAGGGUGACCAGGAGCUGCUAAGCCCAGGGAAUGCACACACGUGCACUGGAGCUGCUGCCUAUCUUAAGAGUCCAAUGCCCACCGAAACACAGUAGGCUGCACAGCAUCCACUACUAGAAGUAGAGUUGCUGGAAAAGACCGAUCAAACAUAUUUAAUAAGCACAAUAAAUAUCUUUUUGGAUACCGAAAAAUAGUAUUAGCAAUAAGACCCAAGACAAAGAAACUACAGAAAAGAACCAAGUCAAAAUAUUACAUAUGCAAAAUGUAAUCGUUGAAUUAAAGACCACAUUACAUUGAGCAAACAAAGUAAAUGCAGAUGAAAGAGGAAGCCAGUCAUUACUUUAAAGGUAUGGCUGUCACAGUGUGGACUUUGGAGCUGGUCCACUUUAGUUGGGGUAAUCUGUAGAGCAUUUAUUUACAAAAGUACUAAUCACCCAGGUACGUUUGGGCUGAAGGCUCUGGGAAAGCCCAGGGCAGGGGCCUGGCACAGGCAGCAGAAGCAGAGCUCUUGCCACCCAAGGCCCUGAGGGACCAGUGAAGUGGGAGCCAUGGGGACAGGGUGCCUGAGAGGAGCAGGGACACUCAGCCGAGGGACACAGCCAGCCAAGGCGGCCUCACAAAGAGGGUUUUCAUGGAAACAAAUUCACUGACUACUUCAUUCCCACAUCUUCGGCUGAGGCUCCCAUGGCAAGUGGAGAGAGCAGCUGCGGGUGGCCUCGGUCACUUGGGUCAGCUCUCCUGCUUAAAACAAAUACACAAAUCAAUAAAAGUGUUGAUUGUAUUAUU